AGGAUAACUUUUCUUAUGAUAAAAUACUAUCUACUCUUAUAAUAAAUAAAACCUCAUUUGUAAACUCCCACAUGUCAUGUAUUUAAUUUAUACUUAUCACAACCAUAUAAAAUCGUAUCUAUCAACUUUUACAGAAAAUGGUUUACUUUAAAGAAAAUACAUAUCAAGCCAAUAUAUAAUAGUUCUGAAAUUCUUCAAACUUAUAGGGUCUUACAUCCCUAUCUUCAUGUAUAACCUUAAUCCUUUCCAACUCAUAUGUUAUUACUUCGACGAAUCCUAAUGUUAAAGUACGGGACGUAACAUCCUCCCCCCUUUAGAACAUUCGUCAAUGUUAACUCUUAGAAAUUUACGAAAUUUUUCACUAGAGUCUCUUCUAUAAAUUAACCCAACCUUUAUCUAAAAUCUAGACUAUUCACAACUUGUUGUACUUGAGUAUGUCGUAUCUUUUUCACCUUUACCUUACUUACUUUUCUAUCUCCCAUCAUAUCUUCUGUUUCUUUCAUAACCUCCCUUCCACAUAAGUAGAAAUUACAUCUACGCCUUAAAGCUCUAUUGUGAUAGCACCUCUAGUGCAUACAAAAUUUGGUGGAAACUUUAAACUAGUUUCUUACGACUCAGCUCUAUUGCACGAUCUUGAAACAAAAGAAGGGUAACAUUUCCUAAAUACCCUAUAGCCCCUCAAUUAUAAAUGUGGAGUGCAACACACCCGUAAGUGAAAAUCUACCAGGCACGGCUUUAUAGACUCCCUAGGACACGACCUGCUCUGAUACCACUUUGUCACGCCCCGAGCCUGGGGAGGCGUGGCUGGCAACCGGUGCCGUAGUGGCCCGAGCGAAUCACUCUAUAACUCAUUCAUUCUUUUCAUAACUAUCAUGGGCCAACAUGGCCACAACUCGUAAUGUACAAUUGUCGGUGGGAAAAUGUUAUAUCAAUGAACCAUCGUUCAUAAAAACGUUAAUACAUCUGGGCCAUCAAGGCAUCUGACAUAUUGUACAUAAUAAACCUGUGUCUACAAAGCCUUUAAGAUUUUUUAAAAGCAAAUUGGACAGGGUACCGCCCUACCAUAAGUAUGUAAUAAAACUCUGAAAUGAUGACUCAUAGACUCGGAUGUACUCCGAAUGAGGUGGAGUUUUACCGAUUCUUCGCUGAAUGCCAAUCUCGUGUACUAUGAGGGUCCGUCAAACUGAUUGUCUAUACCUGCAGGCAUGAAUGCAACGCCAACAAAAGGGCGUCAGUACGAAUAAUGUACCAAGUAUGUAAGGCAGAACUCAAAUCACAGAACAUGAACACAUCAUAACGAUCAUGAGAAAGCUUGGCAAGGAUUUGGAGCUUUUUAUUUCUAAGUCAUUUAAUUUUUCAGUCCAAGAGUAUUUACUUGGUCAUAUACAAGUUUUGCCACAAUGUUUUAUUAAUAAUCAUCCAGCCCAGUGAUCCUAAUGCCAGUGGGAAUAACAAAAUAAUUAUAAAACAUGGAAUUCAAUUGCAUCGCAUAAUAAAAGACUAAAAGAGAUCUUAAGAGCUAGAUAAUAAUUUUUGGUUACAAAUUGGAGAUGGCAAUAUCAUGUGUAACUAUCAUGUGUAACUUCCUUCAGAUGGAUCAAUCCCUCUUUACCAAAUGGGAUGUCCAAAUAGCCCUUUUAUUUUUCAUCUCACGAGUUUUUAUGAAUAACUAGUUAAGGAAUAAAGCAUAGUUUGGUUUAUCAAUUGACAGUUUCGAAGUUUCAUCAACAUUUUAUAUGGCAUAUUCAGAGCAUUAAUUGAUUAAAGGCAAAGCAGCAAAUUUUCAUAAACAAUCGUAUAACGUCGGAUAGCUAGCUUCUGCAAGGAGUAACGAGUUCAAUGUCAAUUUAAACUGUAAAUCCGGAUAGCUCCGUAAAUCAUGAAAUAUUUAUAAUGUCAUGCAUAUGCGUGUGAAUGUCAUGUCGUGCAUAAGUACAUAUUUCAUAACAUCAUCAAGCCUCUGAGGGCAUCCCAUCAUAUCAUUUCAGCAACUGUGAGCAAUAUCAUCAGCGUAUACAAGUUGAUCAGGCGGUGGUGCAUAUAUAACGCCAUGACCUUUUCUAGUAUAUAUACACACACACACAUAUAUACGUAUAUAACGCCGUCUGCGUCAUAUUUCAGCCACUGUGGGCAACAUCAUCAUCGUAUACCAGCUGAUCAGGUGGUGGUGCGUAUAUAACGCAAUAACCUUUUCCAAUAUCCCAUAUAUAUAUAUAUAUACGCGUAUAUAACGCCAUCUGGUCAUGGGUCAAAUGCACAUGUAUAAAUGAGUGAAAUGCAUGAAAAAUACGUAAUAAUCUCAAUAUUCCUUCCGGAUAAACUUUUCCAACUGCAUAUUAUUCUGAAACCCACGAACAAAGGAUAGUAAUAAUUCUCAUGGGGAAUCAAGAAUAUUGACACCUCUACUAUUUCUAUGAAUAGAGUAAUUUAUGGAAACUGUGUGUUUGUUCGUUUUUUAGUAUAAUUUGAACUAUACCAAAAGAAAGAAGGGAAAACCUUAACAUACCUGGCCACAAACUGAUUGGCUUUGUAAUUGACGAAGCUGCAUCAAUGGUAUCUAGUACGGUUGCCACAACUGGGACUGCAUCAACAUUUUAUCCAACUCGAUUCUCAACCAUUUGACUAUGAGGGAUCAAUCCUUCCACUAUGAACUUCAAUCUACAAGAAACUUUACUAGUGCAACCAAAGAACUCUUCACUUGAAUCAGUUCGACGAACUCCUUCAAUUCCUAUGUUCUUGAAGAUGGAAAGCAAGAGAGAACGUUUUGGAGCUCCUAUGGUCUGCUCUUGAAAUUAAAGUGAGAUAAAAUGACGAUAGAAUCGACUUGGGGACUUAUAUGUAGGCACACUUAGAUGUUCCACAUUCCGCAUGCACUUGUAUUAAGGCAAAAUUUUGCCACGUUAUGUUCUUUCUAAAAUAUUUUGGAUAAUUACCAAUUACUCGUAUAAUUAAUUAUUAUCUUAAAUUACUUAAAAUUCUACUUAUUUUUUAUACACUUUAUACACUGUACUAUUAUGGUCAUGUGGUACCAUUUAAAAUAAAUUCAUACACUAUUAUUUCAUUAAAACAUCCAUGUAAAAAUAUAUAUAUUUUCUCAACUUUUAAUUUUUCAAAUCUCAUAUAAAGAGUAAAAAAUUUCGUAUGCUUAAUUCUUAAAAUGGUAAAAAGGUAUAUUUCUUUUCUUGUGAGAAAAUAAUUAAUAUAUUUACAAUAAAGAAAUUGUUUUUGUACUACAAAUUCUCAAAACGGAAAAAGGAUAACUUUUCUUAUGAUAAAAUACUAUCUACUCUUAUAAUAAAUAAAACCUCAUUUGUACACUCCCACAUGUCAUGUAUUUAAUUUAUACUUAUCACAACCAUAUAAAAUCGUAUUUAUCAACUUUUACCGAAAAUGGUUUACUUUAAAGAAAAUACAUAUCAAGCCAAUAUAUAGUAGUUCUGAAAUUCUUCAAACUUACAGGGUCUUACAUCCCCAUCUUCAUGUAUAACCUUUACCCUUCCGAAUCAUAUGUUAUUACUUCGACGAAUCCUAACAUUAAUGUACGUGACGUAACAUCCUCCCCCCUUUAGAACAUUCGUCCUUGAAUGUUAACUCUUAGAGAUUUACGGAAAUUUUCACUAGUCUCUUCUGUAAAUUAACCCAACCUCUAUAUGAAGUCUGGACUAUUCACAACUUGUUGCAUUUGAGUAUGCCAUAUAUUUUCACCUUUACCUUACUUAGUUUUCUAUCUACCAUCAUAUCUUCUGUUUCUUUCAUAACCUCCCUUCCACGUAAGUAGAAAUUACAUCUACGUCUUAAAGCUCUAUUGUGAUAGCACCUCUAGUCCAUACAAAAUUCGGUGGAAACUUUAUACUGGCUUCUUACGACUCAGCUCUAUGGCACGAUCUUGAAACAAAAGAAGGGUAAUAUUUCCUAAAUGCCCUAUAGCCUCUCAAUUAUAAAUGUGGCGCGCAACACACCCAUAAGUGAGAUUCUACAAGGCACGAUUUUGUAAACUCCCUAGGACACGACCCGCUGUGAUACCACUUUGUCACGCCCCGAACCUGGGAAGACGUGGCUGGCCCCCGGUGCCGUAGUGGCCCGAGCGAAUCACUCUGUAACUCAUUCAUUCCUUUCGUAACUAUCAUGGGCCAACAUGGCCAUAACUCGUAAUGUACAAUUAUAGGUGGGAAAAUGUUAUAUCAAUGAACUAUCGUUCAUAAAAACAUGAAUACAUAUGGGCCGUCAAGGCCUCUGACAUACGGUAGAUAAAAAAACCUGUGUCUACAAAGCCUUUAAGAUUGUUUAACAUCAAAUUGGGCAGGGUACCGGCCUACCCAUAAGUAUGUAAUAAAACUCUGACAUGAUGACUCAUAGACUCGGAUGCACUCCGAAUGAGGUGGAGUCUUGCCGAUUCUUCUCUGAAUACCAAUCUUGUCUACUAUGAGGGUCCGUCAAAAUGAUUGUCUAUGCUGACUGAGUCCCUAACAAAAGGGCGUCAGUACGAAUAAUGUACUGAGUAUGUAAGGUGGAACUCAAAUCACAAAACAUUAACACAUCAUAACUAUCAUGAGAAAGCUUGGCAAAGAUUUCGAGCUUUUUAUUUCUAAGUCAUUUAAUUUUUCAGUCCAAGAGUAUUUACUUGGUCACAUACAAGUUUUGCCACAACUGGUUUUCCUAAUAAUCAUCUAAAAGUUGUAGACAUGUAUUUAGUCCAGCUCAGUUACCCUAAUGCCAAUGGGCAUAAUAGUAUAAUUAUAAAACUUGGAAUUCAAUUGCGUCGCAUAAUAAAAGACUAAACGAGAUCUUAAGAGUUGGAUAAUAAUUUUUUAUUACAAAUUGGAGAUGGCAAUAUCUUGUGUAACUUCCUUCAGAUGGAUCAAUCCCUCUUUACCAAAUGGGAUGUUCAAAUAGCCCUUUUAUUUUUCAUCCUACGAGUUUUUAUGAUUAACUAGUUAGGGAAUAAAGCGUAGUUUGAUUUAUCAAUUGACAGUUUCGAAGUUUCGUCAACAUUUUAUAUGGCAUAUUCACAUUUAUUGAUUAAAGGCAAAGCAGCAAAUUUGCAUAAAAAAUUGUAUAACGUCGGAUAGCUAGCUUCUGCAAGGAGUAAUAAGUUCAAUGUCAAUUUAACCUGUAAAUCUGGAUAGCCCCGUAAAUCAUGAAAUAUUUAUAAUGUCAUGCAUAUGCGUGUGAAUGUCAUGUUGUGCAUAGGUACAUAUUUCAUAACAUCAUCAAGCCUCUGAGGGCAUCCCAUCAUAUCAUUUCAGCCACUGUGCGCAAUAUCAUCAUCGUAUACCAGCUAAUCAGAUCGUGGUGCGUAUAUAACGCCAUGACCUUUUCCCAUAUCCCAUAUACAUAUAUAUGCACAUGUAUAAAUGAGUUAUAUAUAACACCAUCUGGUCAUGGGUCAAUGCACAUGUAUAAAUGAGUUAAAUGCAUGAAAAAUAUAUAAUAAUCUCAAUAUUCCUUCUGGAUAAACUUUUCCAACUGCGUAUUAUUCUGAGACCUAUGAACAGAGGAUACUAAUAAUCAAGAAUAUAGACACUCCUACUAUUUCUAUGAAUAGAGUAAUUUACGGAAACUGUGUAUUUGCUCAUUUUUUUAGUAUAAUUUCGACCAUGCCAAAAGAAAGAAGGGAGAGCCUUAACAUACCUGGCCACAAACUGAUUGGCUUUGUAAUUGACGAACCUGCAACAAUAGUAUCUAGUGUGGUUGCCACAAUUGGGACUGCAUCAACAUUUUAUCCAACUCGAUUGUCAACCAUUUGACUAUGAGGGAUCAAUCCUUCCACUAUGAACUUCGAUCCACAAGAAACUUUACUAGUGCAACCAAAGAACUCUUUACUUGAAUCAGUUCGACGAACUCCUUCAAUUUCCUAUGUUCUUGAAGAUGGAAAGCAAGAGAGAACAUUUUGGAGGUCCUAUGGUCUGGUCUUG
rnacentral:lncRNA from 1 species